AUAUAUCAUCAUACAUCAUCAGAUGAAAUCUUCAUUCAUUGUUUGAAUUUCAUAUUAUAUGUUUCAUUCUUCACAUCUUUGGAAUGACAACCUUUUAUUCCUUUUUGGCUUUGGACUAACCAGGAUCAUGCGACGAUCUUUUAUUCGGAUCGAUUUCUGUGAUCUUCCUCGGAUCGAACUAUUUAUGAUCUUUCUCGGAUCAAAGUGGCCAU
rnacentral:lncRNA from 1 species